AACGAACGCUGGCGGCAGGCUUAACACAUGCAAGUCGAGCGCCCCGCAAGGGGAGCGGCAGACGGGUGAGUAACGCGUGGGAAUCUACCCAUCUCUACGGAAUAACGCAUGGAAACGUGUGCUAAUACCGUAUACGUCCUUCGGGAGAAAGAUUUAUCGGAGAUGGAUGAGCCCGCGUUGGAUUAGCUAGUUGGUGGGGUAAAGGCCUACCAAGGCGACGAUCCAUAGCUGGUCUGAGAGGAUGAUCAGCCACACUGGGACUGAGACACGGCCCAGACUCCUACGGGAGGCAGCAGUGGGGAAUAUUGGACAAUGGGCGCAAGCCUGAUCCAGCCAUGCCGCGUGAGUGAUGAAGGCCCUAGGGUUGUAAAGCUCUUUCACCGGUGAAGAUAAUGACGGUAUCCGGAGAAGAAGCCCCGGCUAACUUCGUGCCAGCCGCCGCGGUAA
rnacentral:rRNA from 2 species